GGUCAAGAUUUCUGGACACCCCCGAUAUCUGGGUUAGCCCGCUUGUCAUUAAAAACGACCAAUUAUUUUUUGCUUUUGGUCAAUAUAAAAAAAUUGAAUGAAAUGUUCAAGUCACCACGAUAAGUUGAUUAAGAAACUGAGCCACCUCAGCUUCCCGGCUCAGUAUCUGGCGUGGCGAGGUAUCAAUAUCUGGCGUGGCGAGGUAUCAAUAUCUGGCGAGGUAUCAAUAUCUGGCAUGGCCAGGUAUCAUCAAACCGACGAGUGAAAGGUUGUUGGGCACAAGGGAUGCUUUUAUAUUGGUGCUCUCCCUUUAGACCGCCAGCCCCGCUGUACCGCCAACUCCAGACUCGGCCCAAGGCAGGCGGCGUGACGAGGUUUGUCUGUAUCUAUAUAUAGGACCUAUAUAUUUUGUACUUAUUGUGACUGGAUAUACACAUUCUUCUAGGGGUAAUGUGAAACGAUACAGCCUUAGCUGUAUGUUGUGCCCAUUUUAAUCAAUCAAUUUUGUCUUUACAGAUUUGUGUACGCAUAUGGGCAUUUAAUAUUACUAUUAUUAUUAUUAUUAUAACAUAAUUUUAUAUUGCCAGUGGCUUUCUUUACAUUGUUUUGAUAUCUUUGUUUGCAGCUGCUAAUAAAUAUUCCUCAUAAUAACCCUA